rnacentral:tRNA from 1 species
AAGAGUAUAGCUGAGUGGUGGAGCACUUGCCUAGCAGGUUAGUGACCCUGGGUUUGAUUCCCAGCACUAUGA